ensembl:snRNA U6 U6 spliceosomal RNA
GUGCUCGCUUCAGUUGCCCAGAUACUAACAUUGGAACGAUACCGACAAGAUCAGUGUGGCCCCUGUGCAAGGAUGACAUGCAAAUUCGUGAAGCAUUCCAUAUUUUU